rnacentral:rRNA from 1 species
UACGGAGGGUGCGAGCGUUGCUCGGAAUGACUGGGCGUAAAGGGCGCGUAGGCGGAUCUGUUUGUCAGACGUGAAAUUCCUGGGCUUAACCUGGGGGCUGCGCUUGAGACGGCGGGGCUUGAGUGGGGGAGAGGGUCGUGGAAAUCCCAGUGUAGAGGUGAAAUUCGUAGAUAUUGGGAAGAACACCGGUGGCGAAGGCGGCGACCUAGGCCUUUGACUGACGCUGAGGCGCGAAAGCGUGGGGAGCAAACAGG